ensembl:miRNA MIR6858 microRNA 6858
GUGAGGAGGGGCUGGCAGGGACCCCUCCAAGUUGGGGACGGCAGCCAGCCCCUGCUCACCCCUCGCC